GGGUUCCCAGUAGCCUGAUGUGCAAUCAAAAUCUCUUGUUGCCUCUUGGUGUUGAUAACAAUGAAGCAUGUGGUCUUUUGGCCAUCGACAGUGCGCCCCGGAAUUGCAUGUUUACUGUAGCGACUCGCCUGCUGGUGCCAGUCGUCUACAAAAGUGGAUGAUGUGCCAUCUUGGCCUCUCCACGGUCCCUGCUCGUAGAUCGCAUGGUGUGACCCCAAAAUGUCCCUCCCUAGAUUGUACGAUGCAUAUGUGAUGGUUCUUGUGCAUCGAAACUUCGCUCGUCCCAAACAUUCGUGCUUCGCGGAGCUCUUUAUUCCCGUUUAAUGCUGGAUCCUUUUGGCUGYUGCUCAUCGAUGCUUGGCAUAUGGUUGAUGUUGCGCUGUCACUGGGGCUUGCUUAUUUGGGUUGUUUUGAGACCGUUUGCGGCAUAUGAGUUGCAUUCAACAAUGCUCACUUUGAUCGGCGUACCCUCCAGUGUUGCUGAUCAUUGUUCAAAGCAUUCGUUUCAUUUUGUUGGCCACGAAUCACUUUGGAUGUGGUUGAUGUAUGUCAUGUUGCUUGCAUGUUGAUCCCGUUCACGAUAUUGGCAUUGGAUUUGAAGAAAGACUGAUCUUUGCCUCUCGUUUCAAUGCGAAAAGAGGCAAUGAUUUGGCAUUGCAGUUAUUAUGUGAUCAGCUACUGGGUGAGACGUACGUGUCCAAACAAACAUCCAGUCAGCUGUUUGCUGAUCCAUAACUGUACAUGAUGUUGUUAUAUGGGGAGGCGAACUGAAAGCAUAUCUCGGUGCGGCAUGGUCACCUUGCGAAUGUGAGUUAUUUUUGGAGGCAAUAUCGCCUCCUAAUCUCGUGCAACCAUGAUUCCUCUCUUCCUUACACUUGCUUGAUGGUGUAUGGCUKKGCUGGUUUCAUGUUGUGUUGAGGUUGUGCU
rnacentral:misc_RNA from 1 species